rnacentral:rRNA from 1 species
CCUACGGGAGGCAGCAGUAGGGAAUCUUCCACAAUGGGCGAAAGCCUGAUGGAGCAACGCCGCGUGGGUGAAGAAGGUCUUCGGAUCGUAAAACCCUGUUGUUAGAGAAGAAAGUGCGUGAGAGUAACUGUUCACGUUUCGACGGUAUCUAACCAGAAAGGCACGGCUAACUAUGUGCCAGCAGCCGCGGUAAUACGUAGGUGGCAAGCGUUAUCCGGAUUUAUUGGGCGUAAAGGGAACGCAGGCGGUCUUUUAAGUCUGAUGUGAAAGUCGUCGGCUUAACCGGAGUAGUGCAUUGGAAACUGGGAUACUUGAGUGCAGAAGAGGAGAGUGGAACGCCAUGUGUAGCGGUGAAAUGCGUAGAUAUAUGGAAGAACACCAGUGGCGAAAGCGGCUCUCUGGUCUGUAACUGACGCUGAGGUUCGAAAGCGUGGGUAGCAAACAGGAUUAGAUACCCCUGUAGUC